AGCGUAUUUUGCUCAGGCGGAGCUCGACCGCCCGUUUCGGAAGUGAUCAGCUUUAUCAAAGAGCAUCGUGAUGUCUGCGGGGUCGAGCCGAUUUGUCGUGUUUUGCAGAUUGCCCCU
rfam:Thalassobium sp. R2A62 genomic scaffold scf_1112329232034, whole genome shotgun sequence.